UACGGAGGGUGCAAGCGUUAAUCGGAAUUACUGGGCGUAAAGCGCGCGUAGGUUGUUAGUUAAGCGAGAUGUGAAAGCCCCCGGGCUUAACCUGGGAAUUGCGUUUCGAACUGGCUGACUAGAGUACGGUAGAGGGUGGUGGAAUUUCAGGUGUAGCGGUGAAAUGCGUAGAGAUCUGAAGGAACAUCAGUGGCGAAGGCGACCACCUGGACUGAUACUGACACUGAGGUGCGAGAGCGUGGGGAGCAAACAGGAUUAGAUACCCGCGUAGU
rnacentral:rRNA from 1 species